UUCCAAAGCUUCUAGAGGUGAAACCUGUCACCUGGGGCAGGUUGGUCUCUCAGUCAGGAGUGAAAACAACUGACAUCCAUCGACCCAGCCUGGCGAAGUAUUCAUAGUCUAGAGACCAUGCAAGUUUGAGCCUUCAUAAAGCACAGAAAAGCCUCAAGAAAAAGAUCUUGAAUAGGGGGGAUCAUCAGGGGUGAGCUGAAGUUAGUGAGAGGCCCUGGUUAUGAAGAGAAACAAAAGGCCUGGAACUGUAUAAAGGGGACAAAGAAGAGCACAACUUGUGCCACACAAGAUAGGAUCCAUUAUGGAGACAACACUCUGCCACCACAAGUGCCAUGAAAACUGGAUCCCAGCUCUCUCCACCGGACAAGCGCUGCACAGACUGACCAUUGGAUCAUGUUGAAUAGCAUUGGAUCUAGAACCACUCACUGUGGAACCCCACUAGAAACACCCACAUUUGAUGAUGAUUCCUCAUUGACAACUACUUUUUGAAAACUACCAGCUGGCAUGCCAGCAAAGUGGGGAUGAAGCAUGGUCUAAUGCAGUGUUUCUCCGUGGACUGGUGCCAGUCCCUGAGAUCUCCAUGGCACAGUUUAGGAAUGCAGCCAGUAUCAAAAAGGUUCAGAAACACUGGCCUAAUGGAUAGGACUGGGAGUCAGGAGACUAUCUAGGUUCUAUUUCGAGAUUUGCCACCGACCUGCUGAGAGACUGGGGCAAGAUGCUGGCCUGCGCUUUCCUAUCUGUUAAUUGGGGAUAAUGACACUUUCUUUCCUCUAUGAAGUGUUUUGAGAUCUACCCAAGAGAAGGGCUUGUAUGGGUCUGAUGCAAAGCUCACUAAAAGUAAUGGGAAUCUUUACAAUGACUUCCGUAGGCUUUGCAUCAGUCUCUGUGACACUGACAGUCAAACGAUGCUGAUUUUUAUUUAGUGUGUUGGCAGAAGCCUCAUGCCUGGUUGUAUGUGUGGAUCCCAUCACACACUUCACAUCAUCUAAGAGGACACAGCGCAAUGGGAUACGUCAGCUAUGAACUGUGCGGUUAGCUGAGAAGUCGAGUUCAAGAUCAUUUAUAAACAGGAAGCUGGAGUUGUUGGGUUUGAUUUUGUCUCUUUAACUCACGCCUAAGACACUGGUGGUUAGCAUUUAUGAUAACCAUUUUUUCCAAAAGGUAAUGAGUGGAAUAAGUGAAGAGGAAAGCUGAAACCAGGAAGGGUCUGGAUCCAAUCUGUUAUUCGCUCCUCGUGGAAAGAUCAACUUUGGUUCAGAACUUUCCAGCUGUUUUAGUUUCUCUGCGCUGGCUGGAGCUGGAAAUGCAGAAGUGACACAAGACAGUUUGCACUCUUGGGAUUUCUGGACCGUCUGGAAGUGGCAAACACUGAACAUCUUGUGAACAAGUAUGUUUGUGUGAGACUUCUAGCCCAACUUCGCACAGCUAAGACCUCCACAUAGUUCGGCCUGCAGUAUCUGUGAAACCACCCUGGAUUUACACAAUAAUGAAUGAGAUCAGAACAUAUUGCUAUACAAGGCACUACUUGCAUGACUAAAGCAUUGAAGGAUUGGGACCCAACUGAGAGCUUAACACAGCUCCUCUGCAAGACAAAAUGGCCCACUCCUUGCUGUCAUCUUCCGAGACUUAAGGAGGCAAUGAGAAGCGAGUCUGUUCCCUGUCACUGGAUAUCUCUUUGCAGCACAGCCAGGAAAGAAGUUUAUUAACUUGGCCUCCGGGUUUCCUUUUUUCUGGUUACUUUGGCAAAGGGGUCUUGAAUUUCUCCUUUGUUCUGCUUAAAAAAUACGUAUAAUUUGGAGAUUAUGUGGAAUGAUUUUAUCGGAAUAAAAUUAACUCA